UCGGGAAUUUUGGGCAAUGGGCGAAAGCCUGACCCAGCAACGCCGCGUGAAGGAUGAAGUAUUUCGGUAUGUAAACUUCGAAAGAAUAGGAAGAAUAAAUGACGGUACUAUUUAUAAGGUCCGGCUAACUACGUGCCAGCAGCCGCGGUAAUACGUAGGGACCAAGCGUUGUUCGGAUUUACUGGGCGUAAAGGGCGCGUAGGCGGCAAUUCAAGUCAUCUGUGAAAUCUCCGGGCUUAACUCGGAACGGUCAGAUGAUACUGCUUUGCUAGAGUGCAGAAGGGGCAAUCGGAAUUCUUGGUGUAGCGGUGAAAUGCGUAGAUAUCAAGAGGAACACCUGAGGUGAAGACGGGUUGCUGGGCUGACACUGACGCUGAGGCGCGAAAGCCAGGGGGAGCAAACGGGAUUAGAUACCCAUGUAGUCCCUGAGCGGGCUGGCAAGGCGCAU
rnacentral:rRNA from 1 species